GCCAGCGCGACCCAGUUGACUCUGGGUCCACGUGCUGAUAUCGCCUCCGUCUCUAGUGGUUGUGACCUUGAAUAACCAUGUUCUCUUAGGGGCAGGCCUGGUUUAUGGAAGGGAAGACAUCUGUGUGCUUCUCUCUUUGUGCACAGGGCUCGUUGACGUUGGGGACACUUUGCUGUGCCCAGAAAACUUAGGUCCCGAGGAGGUUGUGGAACUGGAGAAUCGAGCCGUCCUGACCAACCUGCAGCAGAAGUACCUGACCACGCUCUCCAACCCCCGGUGGUUACUGGAGCCCGUGCCCAGGAGAGGCGGGAAGGGCAUCUUCCAGGAACAGCACUGAAAAACACCUACAGGAAACAAAGAUCAAUUUCCACGUCACCAUAAAGGACGGGAGGAGCCCAGAGAUGCUGUACGCCGUGCCCCCCGAGCUGGCCCGGGCCCUCACUCCUUCCAAGGCUGACCGCUCGCUCUGCAAACACAGAGUGAAGGAUGGACUCCCUUCCUGCCCGGCAGGAGAAGCUGCUGGACAGGGGCCUGGAAGGAGCGCGGCUGCAAGUCUGGCUCAGGCCCCCUCUUCCUCAUUGCUCACGGCCUCCUCAGACAGGGACGGGAAGGAAAUGGGACCCUUACUGUUGAGUCUAAACAAAUGCUCCAGGACUUGCAACUUGCUGGUCUCCGCGUGGGCCCGGGGCCCCCACAGGAACUCGUGGCGAGCGGGAUCGCUGUCGGCCACCUGCCGGUACUCCAGGACGAUGACACCCAGAAGUAUCACCAGGAGGCCGUUCUUGGGCAUGCUCCGCUCAUCACCCUGCAUCCCAUCACAGGUGAGGCCCAGGGUGGGGACCAGGAUGUACAAGUGCUCCUUGGGGUCCACCUCCUUCACAUCCACCCCAAAGACCAGCUGCAUGCACUCAGAGGCCUGGCUGAAGACCACAGGGAAGUGGUGCUGGUAUGCUCUGAGGAUACUCAGCAUUUCUGCCCUGGUGGUCGGCUGCUUCCUGCGAUACUUGAGGAGCAGGAAGCUCACCAGGUCAGCCAUCAUUGAAAGCUCUGCCCCUUGGCGCAGGGACUCGGCACCGGCAGAGUAGGAAGAGGAGACGGAGGAGGAGGAGGAGGAGGAGGAGGACGAGGAGGACCGGGGGGAUGCGGCCCCCUCCUGCUCAGCCUCCAGCUGCUGCACAUCCACCAGGCCCUGGGCGUCUCUUGGGUCCUGAAGGUCUUCCACAGCCUGGCGGAGCUCACUCAUCUGAACCAGGGACAUAAUGACAGGUGUUGGCAGCUGACAGGAGUCUGGGCCGGGGUGACAGGUGGGGACCCAGUGGCCUUGUGGGAGGACAAGCUUAUCGACCUUCCCAGGGUUUCUAGGGCUGAACGAGGUUUCCUUUGGUGUCCCAUCUUUGUUGUGGGCGUGCGGGUCCCCUCACCCUUCCCUCGGGCCCUCACCUUGACUCCUGGGAGGACCCGGGACUCUUCUCUCUGUUGCCAAGGCGUGGUUCCUUCAGAUGAUCUGACCCGUCCUCUCACACCAAGGUCCUCACCUCCCUGAAAGGCGGGAGAGAAAGGAGAGGAGGCCCCUUUCCUGCUGUGAUUCAGGACAAGGAUACCUCUGGUCAUUGACUUUGGUUUCUGGGCACAGUUCCUUGUUCACAGCUCCCAAAGCCCUUGGGAUGUCCUCAGUGUUGAGAGUGAUGAAUGUGCUUUUUUUGUUUUUUAUGUGAAUGAGAUGUGUUUGCAAAGCACCUAAAAUGGGGCUGGUUGCCAGAAGAGCCAAUCAUGUGAUUAAAAGUUUGGAUCUUUUGGCCCCUCCCCAGCACCACCAGGGAGGGGAGAAAGGCUGGA